GCGGCCAUGCGGGGCGGGAAGCCCCCUCCUCCUCUCCUGGCCGCCAUGCCUGUGGCCUCAGGAGACAAGGUGAAUGCCGCACCUGUGGACUCUCAGCCCGUCUAGGAGGAGGAUAAAGCACAAAUCCGAAAUGCAGUGUCCCUGGAAGGGACGCCCUCUCUGGGCCCGCUGGCUCCCGUCUCAUUGGGCUGAAUGGGGUCAUGUGACCACUCUCCGCUGCAAAGGAGUCUGGGAAAUUGCAUUUUGUUGUUGUUGGAACUCAUUUUGAAGCCAAAUGAAACGAGAAUCGUGUCAACGAGGAAGGUUUAGGGAGGGGGUGGAUGUGUAGGCAACCAGCAGAGGGCCCCGAAAUCCGUGAAGAUCAGGUCUGACGGUGGCUCCAUGCUCCCUCCAUUAAAGGGCUUCACAAAAACCCUUCCGAAAAGGCUCCUGGCUGGCCCUUCUUCUCUCUUCUGCAGAGCUGGGCAUCAGAGCACACUGAGCAGCAGGAUGAAAUGCCCACAGAGCUUCUGAGGCCAAGUCCUGUCUGACAGAACCACCGUGAGAACAGCUGGUACUCAUGGACCAGUGGCAGCUGGAUGACCCGCAGUCGCCAUCCACUGAAUCCUUCCAGGAACACCUGCACGUGGAAGCAGUGCUGGUGCUGCUGGAAGCUGCGGAACACACACGCAUGGUUAGAACAGCUCUCGGCCCGUGGCCACCCAAAGGGUGCACCUG
rnacentral:lncRNA from 1 species